rnacentral:tRNA from 1 species
GGGUCGGUAGCUCAGUUGGUCAGAGCACGGGCCUCUUAAGCCUGGUGUCGUGGGUUCGAACCCCACCCGACUCACCA